GUCCUACCCAAGCCGAAUGGCUUCAUGGAUUGCUGUGUGAAUGUUUUUACUGUCUUUAUAAACAACUGCCCUCUCAUUCACUCUUCUCCAUCAGUCUAAUCUACUCAGCCUGGGAGGUCAGGGACAGGGACUAUCUUGUUCAUCUUUGAAUCCUCCCCAACCCUAAAAACACUGCCAUGCACUUAACAGAAAGCAAUUAUCCAAGCUCCUAGUGACACCUAUUGCAAGCCUACGAUCCCUUCUCUAGAGAAGGGCGGUUGAAAUUUCAAAUCUAAAAAUGUCAGGCAAAUAUUCACGUCUGUUCUUCAUCUCAAGUCUGUUCUCAUCUCAACAAAUAAUAAUCUAUUCAUUUAGGGGAAACAUCCACCAUAGGGAACCUACUACGUGCCUGGCACUGAUACUCAGCAACUACCUAGGCCAAAAAUGAUCUCGUGACAUCAGAAGAGCAGAUAUGCAGCAGAUAGUAUUCAGUAAAUGCUUAUUAGAUCUGAUGGACUUCUUGAACUUUUCUGCCCAAACUUGGAAAAGUCUUUCACUGAUUUCUUCACAUGGUCUUUAAUUUCCCCUAUGCUACCAAGUGCCUGAAUAUUGUGGACUUUCUGGUAUCAGUCUGCUAGUGCGCCUUAGUUAACCACUUAUUUUUGAACUUACGGGACAUAAAUUAGGAAGUAUCUAGUAAACUAUAAAAGAAAAUCCAUAAAUUAUGUGAAUAAUUAUUAAUUUUAAUUAUUAAAUUAAAUUAAUAAUUUAAAGAAGUUAUUCCCUCUUACCCUCCUGUCCUCAAAGUAUACAAAAUAAUUUUCCUGUUUCCAUUAUAAGAGGCACUUUGUACUGCUGGUCCAGUGACGCAAGCAAGUUUUCUAAAUGACUGACUCGCUAGUCCCAUAUUUUUUCUGUUGUUGCCUUGGGUCAGACCAUGUGCUAGGGUCAAGUAACUGCAGCUAAUGAAUCCUAGGCUCUUGGUCCACAUGAGUUAACUGGCAAUACAUAAGACCUAACCCCAGUCUUGUACUAGGAAUAUCACACUAUGACAGCCGACUCAGCAAAGCUAAGCUAACAAGUGAGCAGGCCAGCCCCAGAGCAUCACAUCUCCAGUCAGCUGGCCUGCAACAAAGUUCAAGUUUUUCUAAAGCGGAGCCCAGACAGCAACUGUCAAGACUUUAGUGUCAACCUUCAUGACCUUACACGAAGCUUUUUUACCACCUGAAUAUACCACUGGAUAGUAUUUAUACCUGAGAAGAAAAAUAGUUUUAUCACUUUCAUAGUGAUUCCCAAUCAAGUAAAAUCAAAAUCCUUGCACAUAGGAGAUGCCCAAUAAAUACCAGAUUAGUUGAAGGAGGAAAGCAUUGAGUUAGUGACCACAAACAGACAUAAUUUUCUUCAUUACCAUCGGCAUACACUUCUGGAGAGCCCACAAGCUAUAAGGGAUUUAAAAGAUGUCAAUUAUAGGUCCUAACCACAUAGAGUCGACAGCCAAUAACUACCUUGUGAAGGGUGAAGCAGCGUUUGAACAUUCCUAGACAUAAAAACACCUUUUCCCUUUUAGGUGAGGCUUACCUGGUUGCCUACGUUUAAUAGUGUAUGCAUUUUUUUUUUUCUCUGUAGAAGGAAGCCCAGAAGGAAAAAAAGGAAGGAAAGGAAAGGAGGAAGGAAGGAAGGGAGGAAGGAAGAAGGAGAGGACAGAUACCAGUGUCUGACAUAUCUAACUGACAUUAGAAGAACCCAAAAUAUAUAACAAAUGAGGAUUCUUUUCUUAAUGCUGAUUCAAAAUUUCUGUAUAAAGUCAUCACUGUAUCUUAAGAAGCACCAUUUGGUUCACUAUGAAACAGCCUCCCCCGCCACAUAUGUUAGAUGACCUGUAUGGUCCGGCUCCUACCCCCUCAGAACUGACAGAUAUUUUAUACCACACCACAUGUUUAUGCUUCCAUUCAUAAAGAACAUUUUUUUAAAACCUUAAGCAUAAAUUACUGGAAAUACAGAACAAAGGGCCUAAGCAAACUGCACAACAAAAGGCCUAAGUAAACUGCACUGGUACUGUAAAAUACAUAUACUUUUAUGUGAACAACAUGCAUUUCCACUCUAAGUAGCAUAACUUAGAAACCAAACUUCAAAAUGUACUUACUUUCUUAACACUAUUAUAAGAAUCUGAAUGCAAAAAGAAUGACCAAUAAUCUACUUCCCUUAAAUUAUACUUCAGAUAGUAUGCAUGGGAGGUUAGAUAUGCUGUUUCAUUUUCUGUCCAUUUUAACGUUUUCUCUAUUUCCUCUAC
rnacentral:lncRNA from 1 species